rnacentral:rRNA from 1 species
GAUGAACGCUGGCGGCGUGCCUAACACAUGCAAGUCGAACGGGGGUGCCAUGUGUGAAGGAGCAGCUUGCUGCUCUGGAACUUUUGGGAUCCUAGUGGCGGACGGGUGAGUAACGCGUGGGCAACCUGCCCCAUACCGGGGGAUAACACUUAGAAAUAGGUGCUAAUACCGCAUAAGCGCACGGCAUCGCAUGAUGCAGUGUGAAAAACUCCGGUGGUAUGGGAUGGACCCGCGUCUGAUUAGCUAGUUGGCGGGGUAACGGCCCACCAAGGCGACGAUCAGUAGCCGGCCUGAGAGGGUGGACGGCCACAUUGGGACUGAGACACGGCCCAAACUCCUACGGGAGGCAGCAGUGGGGAAUAUUGCACAAUGGGGGAAACCCUGAUGCAGCGACGCCGCGUGAGUGAAGAAGUAUCUCGGUAUGUAAAGCUCUAUCAGCAGGGAAAGAAAAUGACGGUACCUGACCAAGAAGCCCCGGCUAACUACGUGCCAGCAGCC